UUUUAUUUGAGAGUUUGAUCCUGGCUCAGGAUGAACGCUGGCGGCGUGCCUAACACAUGCAAGUUGAGCGAUUUACUUCGGUAAAGAGCGGCGGACGGGUGAGUAACGCGUGGGUAACCUACCCUGUACACACGGAUAACAUACCGAAAGGUAUGCUAAUACGGGAUAAUAUAUUUGAGAGGCAUCUCUUGAAUAUCAAAGGUGAGCCAGUACAGGAUGGACCCGCGUCUGAUUAGCUAGUUGGUAAGGUAACGGCUUACCAAGGCGACGAUCAGUAGCCGACCUGAGAGGGUGAUCGGCCACAUUGGAACUGAGACACGGUCCAAACU
rnacentral:rRNA from 1 species